CCAGUCUUAGAGGUGUUGCAGGUGUGGCUGCUGUGUCACUUGUACAUCAGUAGGUGGCAGAGAGGAGAGAGAGGCUAGGUCUGUGUUAUGACCUCUGGAAA
rnacentral:snoRNA from 1 species